GUAGCCGCAGAUUUGCGGCGGACUGUGAGGAGAGAGGAAAGAUGCUGCAGGAAAGCGCUGCCGUGUUGUAAAGCUGCACGCGGUGGGAAAAGCGCUGCAGCACCGGUGAACAGAUACCGAGCGAGAGAGGAGUCCGUAACUCAAGGCUGAGGCGCUUUCCCGGGAGCAGCGGCUGAGGAGAACGUGAGCGAUUCGCUGAGCAGUAGAGCCAGCGGAACUCCCAGAGAGUUGGAUUCCACUGCAGCAUAUUUGUACUCUACUCUGAGUCCACCAUAGUGACCACAGAAAUCAGGGUUGUAAUCAACAAAUAGCCAUAGUUCAUUAUCUGUACUUAACAAGGAACAGGACAGUCCCAUUGCCAAUGUGACUAGACAAAUUUAACAUUUUCACCUCAUUACCUCAAAUUACAACUUCAGCAUUUUAUAAGCCUUAAGUAAAAAUGGAUUUAGCUUCUGAAUUUAUUGAACAUUCAUGCUGGUUGGUGUAAAAGGUAAGAGAUUCGGUUUAUAGCACAAUUUUUACAUUUCUGUCAAUAGCAAUGACAAUUCCUCUGUCUUUUACUUUCCAAAGCCUUUUAUUUUCACCUGUACAUUCCAUCCC